GAUGAACGCUAGCGGCAGGCCUAACACAUGCAAGUCGAGGGGUAGCAGGAUUAAGCUUGCUUAAUUGCUGACGACCGGCGCACGGGUGCGUAACGCGUAUGCAACCUACCUUAUACUGGGGUAUAGCCCGGAGAAAUUCGGAUUAAUCCCCCAUAGUACUAAUGAAUCGCAUGGUUUAUUAGUUAAAGCAUUGCGGUAUAAGAUGGGCAUGCGUCCUAUUAGCUAGAUGGUGAGGUAACGGCUCACCAUGGCUACGAUAGGUAGGGGGCCUGAGAGGGUGGUCCCCCACACUGGUACUGAGACACGGACCAGACUCCUUCGGGAGGCAGCAGUGAGGAAUAUUGGUCAAUGGGCGCAAGCCUGAACCAGCCAUGCCGCGUGCAGGAAGAAUGCCCUAUGGGUUGUAAACUGCUUUUAUUUGGGAAUAAACCUCUUUACGUGUAGAGAGCUGAAGGUACCAGAUGAAUAAGCACCGGCUAACUCCGUGCCAGCAGCCGCAGUAA
rnacentral:rRNA from 1 species